UGGCGACCGGCGCACGGGUGAGUAACACGUAUCCAACCUGCCUCAUACUCGGGGAUAGCCUUUCGAAAGAAAGAUUAAUAUCCGAUAGCAUAUAUUUCCCGCAUGGGUUUUAUAUUAAAGAAAUUCGGUAUGAGAUGGGGAUGCGUUCCAUUAGUUUGUUGGCGGGGUAACGGCCCACCAAGACUACGAUGGAUAGGGGUUCUGAGAGGAAGGUCCCCCACAUUGGAACUGAGACACGGUCCAAACUCCUACGGGAGGCAGCAGUGAGGAAUAUUGGUCAAUGGACGCGAGUCUGAACCAGCCAAGUAGCGUGAAGGAUGACUGCCCUAUGGGUUGUAAACUUCUUUUAUAUGGGAAUAAAGUGGUCCACGUGUGGAUUUUUGUAUGUACCAUAUGAAUAAGGAUCGGCUAACUCCGUGCCAGCAGCCGCGGUAAUACGGAGGAUCCGAGCGUUAUCCGGAUUUAUUGGGUUUAAAGGGAGCGUAGGCGGAUUGUUAAGUCAGUUGUGAAAGUUUGCGGCUCAACCGUAAAAUUGCAGUUGAUACUGGCAGUCUUGAGUGCAGUAGAGGUGGGCGGAAUUCGUGGUGUAGCGGUGAAUGCUUAGAUAUCACGAAGAACUCCGAUUGCGAAGGCAGCUC
rnacentral:rRNA from 1 species